rnacentral:lncRNA from 1 species
GCGAAUGGUCCGAAAGGCAACCUGUUGGCUGGAAAUUUGCUAAGGCAUGUAUCCCCUCUUGUUGCCACUGUUCAUUAACCAUAGCUCUAUCGAGCUUACUCCAAACAGAAGGUAUGUUGCCUUUUGAAUUUUUCGACCAAGUGUAGUAGCAUCCAAUGGAUCGCAAGUCUGUUAGACCUGCAGUUAAACAACAAUCUGC